rnacentral:rRNA from 1 species
CCUACGGGUGACAGCAGUGAGGAAUAUUGGUCAAUGGACGAGAGUCUGAACCAGCCAAGUAGCGUGAAGGAUGACUGCCCUAUGGGUUGUAAACUUCUUUUAUAUGGGAAUAAAAUGUUCCACGUGUGGGAUUUUGUAUGUACCAUAUGAAUAAGGAUCGGCUAACUCCGUGCCAGCAGCCGCGGUAAUACGGAGGAUCCGAGCGUUAUCCGGAUUUAUUGGGUUUAAAGGGAGCGUAGGUGGAUUGUUAAGUCAGUUGUGAAAGUUUGCGGCUCAACCGUAAAAUUGCAGUUGAAACUGGCAGUCUUGAGUACAGUAGAGGUGGGCGGAAUUCGUGGUGUAGCGGUGAAAUGCUUAGAUAGCACGAAGAACUCCGAUUGCGAAGGCAGUUCACUGGACUGCAACUGACACUGAGGCUCGAAAGUGAGGGUAUCAAACAGGAUUAGAUACCCCUGUAGUC